rnacentral:misc_RNA from 1 species
ACACCUCAACUCUCAUGGCUUGCCGUGAUGAGCUUGGACUUUGGGGGUCUUGCCGGCCUGUGGUCGGCUCCUCUCAAAUGAAUCAGCUUGCCAGCGUUUGGUGGCAUCACAGGUGUGAUAACUAUCUACGCUUGUGGUUUUCCACCAGGUAACCUUCGGUGAUGGAGGUUCGCUGGGGCUCAUAAACGUCUCUCCUCGGUGAGGACAGCUCUUUGAAC